rnacentral:rRNA from 1 species
UGUGUAGGUGGCCAUGUAAGUCAGGUGUGAAAGCCCCGGGCUCAACCCGGGAAGUGCAUUUGAUACUGCGUGGCUUGAGUACCGAAGAGGGUAGUGGAAUUCCAGGUGUAGUGGUGAAAUACGUAGAUAUCUGGAGGAACACCGGUGGCGAAGGCGGCUACCUGGUCGAGUACUGACACUGAGACACGAAAGCAUGGGGGAUCAAACA